rnacentral:rRNA from 1 species
AGGACGAACGCUGGCGGCGUGCUUAACACAUGCAAGUCGAGCGGAAAGGCCCUUCGGGGUACUCGAGCGGCGAACGGGUGAGUAACACGUGAGUAACCUGCCCUAGGCUUUGGGAUAACCCUCGGAAACGGGGCUAAUACCGAAUAUUCAUGUUGCGUGGCAUCACGUGGUGUGGAAAGUUUUUCGGCCUGGGAUGGGCUCGCGGCCUAUCAGCUUGUUGGUGGGUGAUGGCCUACCAAGGCGACGACGGGUA